AUGCUGAGUCUGCUGAAUUCGGGCCAGGACGGCUCCUGCCCUGGCAGCCAGCAGGGGAUGGGAGCAACCGCUGGGGCUGGGGUGGCACAGGCAGCAUCCCAGCACGGCUCCUUGGGGCCAGCCCGGGCUGCGGAGGGGCUGGGGGACCGGGAACACCCUCCCUGUGGCUUCCCUCGCAGUGAGGAGGGGAUGACGCCAUGCGUGCAGGCUGUUCCUACGGGAGGAAUGUCCUUUCUUCCCGUGCCAUGUCGCGGCUGGAUAAGUACAGGCCUGGGGUUCGGCAGCCUCCGCAGGGCUCGCAAAGUGCGCCCGGCGCAUCUGGCCCGGGUGCUCUGCAGCUGCCGGGGCUGCUCCCUCCCUCUCCCCAGCACAUCUGGGGCUGGCAGGGAGAGGCUGGGGUGCUUGGGGAAGGGAGAGCCAGGGGCAGAGCCCCUCUCCUGGAGCCCUGCUGCGGGGCACGCAGGGUGGCCACGUGCCCGCAGCACGGUCCCCAACGGGGAGAGGUGCCAAAAGCGUGCCAGCCUCCUCCUGCCACCAGCACGCAUCGCCUCCAGCAAGAGCACGGUGUCCCUGGCUGACCCGGCACAGCGAUGGCACAUGCUGCAGGUGCAGGUGACAGUGAGGGGACCCCCUGCUCCUGCCCUCCCCUGCCCUUGCUGCCCCCUGGGGGGCACUGGGGUCCCACCUGAGCAGCCCCUUCCCACCCCGGGGCUGCAGGGCAGAGCAGGGUGUCCGGCUGGUGGCCCAUGUGCCAGGUUGUGCCAGGGCCCCGUGCGCCUGCACGCACGCAGACACGGGUGUGCAGCGCAGGUGUGCACGUGUGUGAGCAUCCACUGCCCUCUGCUGAGGGAGCCCGGGCAGCUCAGUCCCCAUCGGAGCUGCGGGAAGCUCUGGUUCUGCCUCCCUCCACCCCACACACCCCACAGCUGCCUCCUUCCUCUACUGGGGUAUUGCUAUGCCCUGACUGGGGGGCUAUUUUCUGCCCCCCGUCCCUUGGCCCCUGGCUCUGAGCUCAUUUUUCCAUGCCAAGAGCUUCCCAGAUGCUCCCAGACCUCGUGGCUUUUUAUUUUCUCGCGGGCUCCUCUUCCCCCUCCCCAUUAUUAG
rnacentral:lncRNA from 1 species